AGAGGGGAUACCCGGGAAACUGGGGAUAUACCCCAUAGAUCAGGACGCUGGAAUGCCCCCUGAUUCAAAGGUCCGCCGCCUGAGGAUGGGUCUGCGGCCGAUUAGGUUGUUGUUGGGGUAACGGCCCAACAAGCCAUUGAUCGGUACGGGUUGUGAGAGCAAGAGCCCGGAGAUGGAUUCUGAGACACGAAUCCAGGCCCUACGGGGCGCAGCAGGCGCGAAAACUUUACAAUGCGAGAAAUCGUGAUAAGGGAACCCCGAGUGCCCGUAAAUUCGGGCUGUCCGCCAGUGUAAAUAACUGGUGAAGAAAGGGCCGGGCAAGACCGGUGCCAGCCGCCGCGGUAAUACCGGCGGCUCGAGUGGUGGCCACUAUUACUGGGCUUAAAGCGUCCGUAGCUGGAUUGUUAAGUCUCUUGGGAAAUCCACCGGCUCAACCGAUGGGCGUUCAGGAGAAACUGGCAAUCUAGGGACCGGGAGAGGUGAGAGGUACUCCAGGGGUAGGAGUGAAAUCCUGUAAUCCUUGGGGGACCACCUGUGGCGAAGGCGUCUCACUAGAACGGCUCCGACAGUGAGGGACGAAAGCUGGGGGAGCAAACCGGAUUAGAUACCCGGGUAGUCCCAGCUGUAAACGAUGCGCGUUAGGUGUAUCGGUGACCACGAGUCAUCGAGGUGCCGAAGGGAAACCGUGAAACGUGCCGCCUGGG
rnacentral:rRNA from 1 species